rnacentral:rRNA from 1 species
UACGGGGGGGGCAAGCGUUGUUCGGAAUUACUGGGCGUAAAGGGCUCGUAGGCGGCCAACUAAGUCGGACGUGAAAUCCCUCGGCUUAACCGGGGAACUGCGUCCGAUACUGGAUGGCUUGAGAUUGGGAGAGGGAUGCGGAAUUCCAGGUGUAGCGGUGAAAUGCGUAGAUAUUGGGAGGAACACCGGUGGCGAAGGCGGCUCUCUGGACCGGUUCUGACGCUGAGGCGCGAAAGCGUGGGCAGCAAACAGG